rnacentral:sRNA from 1 species
ACUAUCUGCGGCGAUGUCAUUGGGGAGUAGCCAUCCUCGUUCCCCCUGAGGAGUUCGCGUCAACAGACUUGGCGGCCACGGCCCCAUGGCGCGAACGGCAGUAGCGUGUGGAGAGCACGCUGCCGGCCCGGCGAGACCUUUGGCCAUCGACAUGCUCACCCGGGGCCGGGCGAGCGGUGUCGUUGUGCCAUCGGUUU